CAGUCGCCGCGGGAAUACAGAGGGUGCGAGCGUUAAUCGGAUUUACUGGGCGUAAAGCGUGCGUAGGCGGCUUUUUAAGUCGGAUGUGAAAUCCCUAAGCUUAACUUAGGAAUUGCAUUCGAUACUGGGAAGCUAGAGUAUGGGAGAGGAUGGUAGAAUUCCAGGUGUAGCGGUGAAAUGCGUAGAGAUCUGGAGGAAUACCGAUGGCGAAGGCAGCCAUCUGGCCUAAUACUGACGCUGAGGUACGAAAGCAUGGGGAGCAAACAGGAUUAGAUACCCCCGUAGUCCCUGUCUCUUAUAC
rnacentral:rRNA from 1 species